AGUGAACGCUGGCGGUAGGCCUAACACAUGCAAGUCGAACGGCAGCACAGUAAGAGCUUGCUCUUACGGGUGGCGAGUGGCGGACGGGUGAGGAAUACAUCGGAAUCUACUUUUUCGUGGGGGAUAACGUAGGGAAACUUACGCUAAUACCGCAUACGACCUACGGUUGAAAGCAGGGGAUCUUCGGACCUUGCGCGAUUGAAUGAGCCGAUGUCGGAUUAGCUAGUUGGCGGGGUAAAGGCCCACCAAGGCGACGAUCCGUAGCUGGUCUGAGAGGAUGGUCAGCCACACUGGAACUGAGACACGGUCCAGACUCCUAAGGGAGGCAGCAGUGGGGAAUAUUGGACAAUGGGCGCAAGCAUGAUCCAGCCAUACCGCGUGGGUGAAGAAGGCCUUCGGGUUGUAAAGCCCUUUUGUGGGGAAAGAAAAGCAGCAGGUUAAUACCCAGCUGUUCUGACGGUACCCAAAGAAUAAGCACCGGCUAACUUCGUG
rnacentral:rRNA from 1 species